AUUUUGAAGUGUAGUUAUUUGUAUUUAAAAGGAAUGAACGAAGCUCUUCUCCAAAAAUGAAUCAGUUCAUAAGAGCGAUUCGCUCGCGGCUCAGACGUCACCACGUGAUGUCACGCUGUCUCUUCUUCGAUGGUAUUCAGCAGCGCUAUAAAUGCGGGCGCGCUAGUCGUUGCGCUCUCUCACUUUUGCGAUGUUUCCAUGGAAGAGCGUCAGAGCGUAUAAACAUGAGAAACUCCGGCUGCUACAGGAAGGUCACACAAGACCCCCAAAUACCGUGAUCCCAGUGGCCUGUUGUGUUGAGGAUGAGGUAAAUGUUCAAAGAUCUGGAAGGUUCAUAAAGUUUCAAGAUCAUCCUGUUGUUGGAAAGAUGUGUGACGAUCUACGGAAAUCAAGUUCUCCUGCCAAUUUUUUUUUGUAAAGUUGAGCACUUAAAAGAGAUCAGUGCUCCCUGUUAACGGUUUGAACUUUGUUGUCAUAGUCAUGACAUGCAGAUUAAUAAAAAAAAACAAAACAAAAAAAAUAAAUAUGUAUGUAUAUGGGAUUUUAACAACACUGCAACAAAAUGUGUGACAUGCAGAUUAAUAAAAAACAAAACAAAAAAAUAAAUAUGUAUGUAUAUGGGAUUUUAACAACACUGCAACAAAAUGUGAAGAAUGAAGAGGUUCUGAAUGCAUGUUAGGAGUUUUGGCUCCUGGAGCGCCCUGUUCCAGCAGAGGUCAGCUCUAGCCCCAGUUAAACACCUGGACCAGAUCAAGCACUUCAGGAUCUCUGCAGACUUCCAAGUGUGUUGCUGCUAAACUCUACUGGAAAGUAGUCUUCCAGGGUUAGGGCUGGACCCCAAUGCUUGAGCAUCAUUGACUGAUAUACAGAGAAUGAAGGAGGAGUCUGGCGUGGUACAAUGUUUGUUUUGUCUCCAUUUAGUUCUGUUUUCAAACACUGGGAAUAAAAAAGAUAAAUGGAAUGCAUUUUAAUUGGUCUAAAUACUGGAAAAUUCCUGAGGACACCCCUGCCCUCCCCCAACCUAUUAUUAUUAUUGUUUUCUGUAAAGACAUGUUCUUAAAAAAUAAUAACCCUCUAAAAAGUGUACUUGUCUUGGCCUUUCCUGUAAUGUGUCUGCCAGGCCUCAUGUUUUAAUAAUGCUGAAGUGAAUACUGAGAUGAUGUCUCCCUCUGCUGUAAUUAUUUACAAAUUAGCUAAAGGAAAAUGGGAGAGACUGGUUAUGCACAUGUUCAUAUUUGAUCUGCAUUAAUCAUUGCUUUGUGUAUUAUGGUUUUCACCUGUGUGUUACUAGACAAUGAGUCGAGGCUUAACGGACACUACAUGCCUGGUGUUAGAUUAGCUGGAGUGUAGUCCCUGGAGACUAAAAAUAGAUUGCUUCAAAAUUAAAGUUAUAUGAAGCAUCUACUCCUUUGACAUGCAUAUUUAUUAAAAAAAAAUGCUUCUGGUCUCUCACUGUACUAAGUAUAGGUCUCUGCAUUGACUGGAAAAAGCUCAUGCGGCAUCUUGACGCAGCCAAGUGGAGGCUGCUUUGAUCCACCUCAGCCCACAGUGUUGAACCAUACAGCUGUAUUUGAGGAGUAACUGCGUUUAUGCCACCUCUUGAGCAAAGUUAACCUGUAAAGACUCCUAAAUGCCACUUCAGAGCGACUGUAUGCUGCCUUUGCAGUGUGAAUUUGGCACUGUUCUGCAGAGACCAGAAAACAGGUUUUGCUACCUUUGGGAGGUUUGCCUUAAAGCAGCUCUGAGUUGGAGGUGGUGUGCUUCCAUGCAACCGAGUCUCUUGGGAAAACCUUGUUUAACAGNNNNNNNNNNAGGAUAAGAUAAAAAAAAAAAAAAGGUGCCUGGUUUGUUUUUUGAAUAUCUCAAAAGACGUAGAGAUGUAUUAAUAUUUCACAAAUAUAAGUUUCUAUUGUGAGUCAGUGGCACAGGGACAUUGUUUUAUACCCAUGGACUGUGAGCUUUCUCAGAGAAGUGAGAGCACUCGUUAAGCUUUGGCUGUUAUAUCCCAGCUAACAUUGCAAUUUCAAAGAAAUAGUUUUUCUAGCUUACAUCCUCUUGGAACAUUUUAGGUGGCCCCUAACUUGGGCAAUGUUGCAAACUUUAUUUGAGUUAGAAAUGGGGCUAAUUAGUGAUUGUAGAUGAACAAUGCUGUACCAUUUUCAUUGUAUGUUGUAUCCUGUACGUGUUUUCCCGUUUUGUUCCUGUUUGUUUAUUGUAAAAUCAAUUAAAAAUACAAAUAAAAGCUAAUGGGAAUCUUAAAAGAAAAGGACAGUAAUGUUUUC
rnacentral:lncRNA from 1 species